rnacentral:rRNA from 1 species
GACGUAGGGGACGAGCGUUGUCCGGAUUCAUUGGGCGUAAAGCGCGCGUAGGCGGUUCGGUAAGUCGGGUGUGAAACCCCCAGGCUCAACCUGGGGACACCACCCGAUACUGCUGUGGCUAGAGUCCAGUAGGGGAGUGUGGAAUUCCCGGUGUAGCGGUGAAAUGCGCAGAUAUCGGGAGGAACACCAGCGGCGAAGGCGGCACUCUGGGCUGGAACUGACGCUGAGGAGCGAAAGCGUGGGUAGCAAACAGG